UAGAGUUUGAUCAUGGCUCAGAUUGAACGCUGGCGGCAUGCCUUACACAUGCAAGUCGAACGGUAACAGGUCUUCGGAUGCUGACGAGUGGCGAACGGGUGGGUAAUACAUCGGAACGUGCCCGAUCGUGGGGGAUAACGGAGCGAAAGCUUUGCUAAUACCGCAUACGAUCUACGGAUGAAAGCAGGGGACCGCAAGGCCUUGCGCGGACGGAGCGGCCGAUGGCAGAUUAGGUAGUUGGUGGGAUAAAAGCUUACCAAGCCGACGAUCUGUAGCUGGUCUGAGAGGACGACCAGCCACACUGGGACUGAGACACGGCCCAGACUCCUACGGGAGGCAGCAGUGGGGAAUUUUGGACAAUGGGCGAAAGCCUGAUCCAGCCAUGCCGCGUGCAGGAUGAAGGCCUUCGGGUUGUAAACUGCUUUUGUACGGAACGAAAAGACUCCUUCUAAUAAAGGGGGUCCAUGACGGUACCGUAAGAAUAAGCACCGGCUAACUACGUGCCAGCAGCCGCGGUAAU
rnacentral:rRNA from 1 species